rnacentral:rRNA from 1 species
GGAGGGCGCAAGCGUUGUUCGGAAUUACUGGGCGUAAAGCGCGUGUAGGCGGCCGAGUAAGUCGGAUGUGAAAGCCCGGGGCCCAACCCCGGAACUGCACCCGAUACUGCUCGGCUGGAGUCCCGGAGAGGAUGGCGGAAUUUCCGGUGUGGAGGUGAAAUUCGUAGAUAUCGGAAGGAACACCAGUGGCGAAGGCGGCCAUCUGGACGGUGACUGACGCUGAGACGCGAAAGCGUGGGGAGCAAACAGGAUUAGAUACCCUGGUAGUCCACGCCGUAAACGUUGGGUGCUAGACGUCGGGGGUAUUGACCCCUCCGAUGUCGAAGCUAACGCAUUAAGCACCCCGCCUGGGGAGUACGGCCGCAAGGCUA